UAGAUAAGUAUUUUCUUAAAAUUCCAAGAGACAGUUUCUUGUGUGUUUGUCGUGAACCAAGGAUAGCCACAACUUCCAUUGAUUUGGGCACUGUUUGAUGAUCUGCAUAACCUUGUACCAAUUUAUAAAAGUCCAACAUAAUUUUGCACUCACAAUGAUCAACUAAUGGCAAGUAGCGUUAGGGUAAAUAUAGAAGCUGCAGCCUUGAAGGAGGGUAACCAACUCCCGCUGCCAACCAGACUUUAAUGCUGUUAAGGAGUACUACUCCAACAAACUAGCAUAAUUUUGCCAA
rnacentral:lncRNA from 1 species